GACAGAGGUGCCGAGCGUUAGGCGGAAUCACUGGGCUUAAAGCGUGUGUAGGCGGAUCGUUAAGUGCCUUGUGAAAUCCCACGGCUUAACCGUGGAACUGCUUGGCAUACUGGCGGUCUUGAGCAACCUAGGGGCAAGCGGAACAAAUGGUGGAGCGGUGAAAUGCGUAGAUAUCAUUUGGAACGCCAAUGGUGAAAACAGCU
rnacentral:rRNA from 1 species